rnacentral:lncRNA from 10 species
UAUUUUUCCUGUCAUUGAAAAAAUAGUCCAGUAAGAGACUAGGAGUGCCGAGUCCAGGAAGAAACCAUCUGGGUUUGAACCACAGCAUUAUCUCUAACUGUGAUUUUUAACAUGUUGUAAAACCUUUUGUGCUUCAGUUCCCUCAUCUGCAAAGUGUGGACAAUGAUAAAAUCUAUUUCAUGAGGUUGAUGCAAGAUAAGGAUUUAAUAAAUAAAGCUCUGAUGUCCGAAUAAGAGAGUAUUAGAAGACACACAGAGCGACUCUGAAUUCAGAGAAACUAUCCAGGGAAAAGGACAGGCUGACCGUGGUGGCUUACGCUUAUAAUCCCAGCUCUUUAAGAGGUGUAAGCAAGUGGAUUGCUUGAGCCCUGGAGUUUGAGACCAGCCGGGUCAGUGUGGUGAAAUCCCAUCUCUACAAGAAAUACAAAAGUGAUUUUCCAUGGUAGCAUGUGCCUGUAGUCCCAGCUACUCAUUACUCAGAAGGCUGAGGUGUGUGGAUAACCUGAACCCAGAAUGUGGAAGCUGCACUGAGUUGUGAUGGUGUCACUGAACUCUAGCCUGGGCAGUAGAGUGAGACCCUGACUCAAAAAUAAUAAUAAUAAUAAAUGAAGAAGAAGAAGAAGGAGGAGGAGGAGGAGGAGAGGAAGAAGAAGAGGAAGAAGAAGGAAAAGGAGAAGGAGAAGAAGAAGAGAAGAAGAAGAAGAAGAAGGAGGAGGAGGAGGAGGAGGAGGGGAAGGAGAAGAAGAGGAAGAAGGAGAAGGAGAAGGAGAAGGAGAAGGAGAAGAAGAAGAAGAAGAAGAAGAAGAAGAAGAAGAAGAAGAAGAAGAAGAAGAAGAAGAAGAAGAAGAAGAAGAAACCGUAUCAUCAAAUGUGAGACCUAAAAAUGUGAUCUCAAAAGUCCUCUACAUGUUUUUUAAACAACUGCAUUGGCAUUGUCUACCAUAUGAUAACCUUAACAAAUGUAUUUGGUGAAGGUCUUAAAUUAGUCAUCCAGAAAAUCUUUUGGAAAUAAUCUUACAUGCACUGUGGUAAAAAAAAAAAAUUAAUAACAUUUCUCCUUUAAAACCAUUUUCUAAAAAGAUGUGAAUCCCUUUGAUCAUUUUGUCCAAAUUGUAAUUAUUAUAAUUUGUACUAUGAUAAUAGAGGGCAAAUAUAAUAGUUGUAUCCAUCAUUUUUGAUAAAUUAUAUUGUACUACAUAUGAUUCUAGACUACUUUGCAAAUGUCAUUUAAUUGAACUUCUGUACCACUGUGCCAAGUAAAUAUUGUUCCAGAUUACAGAUGAGGUUGUUCAUAAAGCUAUUUCCUUUUUGAGAUAGGGUUCCUCUGGGGAUGAUGAUGGUAGUGGCAGUGGUGGUCAUGAAGAUGAUCACAAUGACAAUGAUAGGAUGACAGGUAACAUUCAUUGAUCAUUGACUAGGGGCAAAAAGUAAUAAUCAUUUUAUUUUAAGACACCAGAUGGAGUACUCUUAUUAUUUCUAUUUCAUAUACUAGGAGGCUGACUUUCAAAAUUUACAUCACUUGCCCAGUGUCAUACUCUAGUGUACUUUCUUUAGAUGCAGGGGUUUUUUAAAUUAACUGUUGCAUCAUAAUGCCUAGCACAGUGUCUAAAUAUAGUAAUUUCACAAUAAAAUUUAUUGAUUGACUAUAAAAUAUAGCACUAUUCAUAUUCAAUUAGGUUUUAUUGUUUAGUUUUCCUUUUGUUUUUCAU